GACGAACGCUGGCGGCGUGCUUAACACAUGCAAGUCGAACGGUAAGGCCCUUCGGGGUACACGAGUGGCGAACGGGUGAGUAACACGUGGGUGAUCUGCCCUGCACUUCGGGAUAAGCCUGGGAAACUGGGUCUAAUACCGGAUAGGACCACUGCCUGCAUGGGUGGUGGUGGAAAGCUUUUGCGGUGUGGGAUGGGCCCGCGGCCUAUCAGCUUGUCGGUGGGGUGAUGGCCUACCAAGGCGACGACGGGUAGCCGGCCUGAGAGGGUGACCGGCCACACUGGGGAUGAGAUACGGCCCAGACUCCUACGGGAGGCAGCAGUGGGGAAUAUUGCACAAUGGGCGCAAGCCUGAUGCAGCGACGCCGCGUGAGGGAUGACGGCCUUCGGGUUGUAAACCUCUUUCAGCACCGACGAAGCGCAAGUGACGGUAGGUGCAGAAGAAGGACCGGCCAACUACGUGCCAGCCGCCGCAGUAA
rnacentral:rRNA from 1 species